rnacentral:rRNA from 1 species
GACGAACGCUGGCGGCGUGCUUAACACAUGCAAGUCGAACGGAAAGGCCCUGCUUUUGUGGGGUGCUCGAGUGGCGAACGGGUGAGUAACACGUGAGUAACCUGCCCUUGACUUUGGGAUAACUUCAGGAAACUGGGGCUAAUACCGGAUAGGAGCUCCUGCUGCAUGGUGGGGGUUGGAAAGUUUCGGCGGUUGGGGAUGGACUCGCGGCUUAUCAGCUUGUUGGUGGGGUAGUGGCUUACCAAGGCUUUGACGGGUAGCCGGCCUGAGAGGGUGACCGGCCACAUUGGGACUGAGAGACGGCCCAGACUCCUACGGGAGGCAGCAGUGGGGAAUAUUGCACAAUGGGCGGAAGCCUGAUGCAGCAACGCCGCGUGCGGGAUGACGGCCUUCGGGCUGUAAACCGCUUUCGCCUGUGACGAAGCGUGAGUGACGGUAAUGGGUAAAGAAGCACCGGCUAACUACGUG